rnacentral:ncRNA from 1 species
GACGAAACGUUGAUGGGAAGUAGUAAAACGAGUGUUUUUCUAAAGAGAGCCGGUGGUUGGUGCGAACCGGUGAAAAACGCGUUUGAAUCCACCCCGGAGUUGCAUGGCGAAAAAAGCCAUUGCCGGUUUAAAUGCCGUUAUGUGAUGAAGAGGAUUGGCUUUUGCCGAUCAAUCAGGGUGGCAACGCGGGUAGCUCUCGUCCCUUUA